UACGUAGGGGGCAAGCGUUGUCCGGAAUCAUUGGGCGUAAAGCGCGUGUAGGCGGUCCGGUAAGUCGGUUGUGAAAGUCCAGGGCUCAACCCUGGGAUGCCGACCGAUACUGUCGGACUAGAGUUCGGAAGAGGCGAGUGGAAUUCCCGGUGUAGCGGUGAAAUGCGCAGAUAUCGGGAGGAACACCAAUGGCGAAGGCAGCUCGCUGGGACGUUACUGACGCUGAGGAGCGAAAGCGUGGGGAGCGAACAGG
rnacentral:rRNA from 1 species